CCGGGCCCGCAGGUGCCGGGAGCGCCACGGUCGCCGAGGAUGGCUUUUCGGUUUCUUUUUUCUUCUUGUUUUCCCUUUUCUUUCUGUUCUUUGUUGCGGCCCAGCGUGUUCUCUUCCGCGUCACAUCCAAAGCGCCCGUCAUUGGCGUUUCAGGAGGAGCCACUUUUCAUCGUGCCGGGUAACGUUGGCAGAGGUGACUCUUCCGCUUUGGAGUUUCUGUUUUGUGUUUAUGCGAGAUAAUGACCAAAAAAAAGAAAAAGAAAAGAAAAAAAAAAAGAAAAAAGCGCCAGCAAAAGGCCCCAGCGAGGAUCGAACUCGCGACCCCUGGUUUACAAGACCAGUGCUCUAACCACUGAGCUAUGGAGCCCGCUUGUUACCUGGGAGACUGUAAUUCAAGGACAUUGGAAGCAGCCUUGCUGUAGCUGGCAGGCUUUUGAGAUGGACCGACCCCAUGCAUCCCACCCGUGUCGACAAUGAUGGCUUUGGAGACUGUGAAAGGCCAGAGGAAAAAUGCCUGCCCCAGGAUAAGCAGAAAAAAAAACAACCCCGAAUCUCAGCGUCUUAAGGUUAGGAUCACAGAACACUGACUCAUACCGAUGGCUGGGAGCAGGCAUCGAGAGGGUAGACACCUCAGCCAGUGACGAUGAGGAGGAGGAUGCUAACCGACUGCAAUAACACCAUCAUCACCUGUGGGUGCCUGAGAAGAACCACUGAAACCAUGUGUGUAAAUACUUCCCACAGAGCCUGGCGUCUGGGGAGUCCUUGGUGUGCCCUGGUUCCCGAACCCCGUCUCCCAUCACGGGCUUUGCGUCUGCCAUCGCCCAGGCCUCACCCCAAGCCAGUCCAGCCAGGCUUCCAGCCCCGAGAGCUGCACUCACGACUCUUUCGCAGAGCUGGUGAGAGGAUGAGAUCCCCACACAGGACUUCUCAGUGUUAAGUGCUCAACAGAUGGCCCUUGAUUCUGCUAAAAACGGCUGUGUUUCACUGGAGUAUUACGAAGAGUAGAGGAACGCC